rnacentral:rRNA from 1 species
UGGGGAAUUUUGGACAAUGGGCGAAAGCCUGAUCCAGCAAUGCCGCGUGUGUGAAGAAGGCCUUCGGGUUGUAAAGCACUUUUGUCCGGAAAGAAAUCCUUGGCUCUAAUACAGUCGGGGGAUGACGGUACCGGAAGAAUAAGCACCGGCUAACUACGUGCCAGCAGCCGCGGUAAUACGUAGGGUGCAAGCGUUAAUCGGAAUUACUGGGCGUAAAGCGUGCGCAGGCGGUUUGCUAAGACCGAUGUGAAAUCCCCGGGCUCAACCUGGGAACUGCAUUGGUGACUGGCAGGCUAGAGUAUGGCAGAGGGGGGUAGAAUUCCACGUGUAGCAGUGAAAUGCGUAGAGAUGUGGAGGAAUACCGAUGGCGAAGGCAGCCCCCUGGGCCAAUACUGACGCUCAUGCACGAAAGCGUGGGGAGCAAAACAGGAUUAGAUACCCUGGUAGUCCACGCCCUAAAACGAUGUCAACUAGUUGUUGGGGAUUCAUUUCCUUAGUAACGUAGCUAACGCGUGAAGUUGACCGCCUGGGGAGUACGGUCGCAAGAUUAAAACUCAAAUGAAUU